GAGAGCUUGCUCUCGGGUGACGAGUGGCGGACGGGUGAGUAAUGUCUGGGAAACUGCCUGAUGGAGGGGGAUAACUACUGGAAACGGUAGCUAAUACCGCAUAACGUCGCAAGACCAAAGAGGGGGACCUUCGGGCCUCUUGCCAUCAGAUGUGCCCAGAUGGGAUUAGCUAGUAGGUGGGGUAACGGCUCACCUAGGCGACGAUCCCUAGCUGGUCUGAGAGGAUGACCAGCCACACUGGAACUGAGACACGGUCCAGACUCCUACGGGAGGCAGCAGUGGGGAAUAUUGCACAAUGGGCGCAAGCCUGAUGCAGCCAUGCCGCGUGUAUGAAGAAGGCCUUCGGGUUGUAAAGUACUUUCAGCGGGGAGGAAGGUGUUGUGGUUAAUAACCGCAGCAAUUGACGUUACCCGCAGAAGAAGCACCGGCUAACUCCGUGCCAGCAGCCGCGGUAAUACGGAGGGUGCAAGCGUUAAUCGGAAUUACUGGGCGUAAAGCGCACGCAGGCGGUCUGUCAAGUCGGAUGUGAAAUCCCCGGGCUCAACCUGGGAACUGCAUUCGAAACUGGCAGGCUGGAGUCUUGUAGAGGGGGGUAGAAUUCCAGGUGUAGCGGUGAAAUGCGUAGAGAUCUGGAGGAAUACCGGUGGCGAAGGCGGCCCCCUGGACAAAGACUGACGCUCAGGUGCGAAAGCGUGGGGAGCAAACAGGAUUAGAUACCCUGGUAGUCCACGCCGUAAACGAUGUCGAUUUGGAGGUUGUGCCCUUGAGGCGUGGCUUCCGGAGCUAACGCGUUAAAUCGACCGCCUGGGGAGUACGGCCGCAAGGUUAAAACUCAAAUGAAUUGACGGGGGCCCGCACAAGCGGUGGAGCAUGUGGUUUAAUUCGAUGCAACGCGAAGAACCUUACCUGGUCUUGACAUCCACAGAACUUUCCAGAGAUGGAUUGGUGCCUUCGGGAACUGUGAGACAGGUGCUGCAUGGCUGUCGUCAGCUCGUGUUGUGAAAUGUUGGGUUAAGUCCCGCAACGAGCGCAACCCUUAUCCUUUGUUGCCAGCGGUUAGGCCGGGAACUCAAAGGAGACUGCCAGUGAUAAACUGGAAGGAAAGGUGGGGGA
rnacentral:rRNA from 1 species